UGUGACUGUUACACUGUGGAAAGCUUGAAGUCAGACUAAAGCAGAUUGCAAGCUUUGGUAAAGCAGAGGAACAGUGACGAUAAAGCUCAAAUAUUUCCAUAUGCAUGCCAGUUUAGCAGGAGCACUAAAAUCUGUUUCAAUUACAAACAGAUUAUCUCAGUUCUGAUGUUUGUUCUGACAGCCUUUUGUUUUUUUGUCAGAGAACAGCAACACCAAACUACUUGCUGCACCAUGUCUACAAAGCAACCAACGGCAGCUUAAAGUUGUCUACACUGGCUGCAUGUCACCUCUGAAUGUUCACUAACCACAAACUAGCUGUGAGCUCGAGAAGACUUCACAAAAGAUGGGAAAGUGGCUGGAGUAGUUGUGCAGCACAUCAAAAAUAGAAAUGGGCCGUCCUCCAUCAACUAGAUAAAAGAUGCAGAAUACCACAAAUGCAGCCAUAAUCAACAGAGAUCCGGCAGCAGCAGAAAUCAGCACUAUAUAAACCAAAG